rnacentral:rRNA from 1 species
CAGUAGCCGCGGGAAUACGAGGGGGGCAAGCGUUGUUCGGAAUUAUUGGGCGUAAAGGGUGCGUAGGCGGUUUCGUAAGUCUUAUGUGAAAUCUAUGGGCUCAACCCAUAGUCUGCAUGGGAAACUGCGAGGCUUGAGGAUGGGAGAGGUGAGUGGAAUUUCCGGUGUAGCGGUGAAAUGCGUAGAUAUCGGAAGGAACACCUGUGGCGAAAGCGGCUCACUGGACCAUUUCUGACGCUGAUGCACGAAAGCUAGGGGAGCAAACAGGAUUAGAUACCCCAGUAGUCCCUGUCUCUUAUAC